rnacentral:SRP_RNA from 1 species
UGCGCUGUAAGCAGCGGCGAUGUAACAUGAAACAUGUCAGGUGGGAAACCAAGCAGCAUUAAGUGUGAUUAUCGGGUGUUGAUUUUAUAGCGUACCG